rnacentral:rRNA from 1 species
UACGUAGGGGGCAAGCGUUGUCCGGAAUCAUUGGGCGUAAAGGGCGCGUAGGCGGCUCUGCACGUCCGUUGUGAAAUCGCCCGGCUCAACUGGGCGGGGUCAGCGGAUACGGCGGAGCUUGAGCAAGCUAGGGGGCAAUGGAAUUCCCCGGUGUAGUGGUGGAAUGCGUAGAUAUCGGGAGGAACACCAGUGGCGAAGGCGGUUGCCUGGGGCUUUGCUGACGCUGAUGCGCGAAAGCGUGGGGAGCGAUCCGG